CCCCAAAGCCCUGUCUCCUCAGAACUUCAUAUUCCACCGUUUCCUGUUAAAGCUAAAAUUCCACUGAACCUUCCUGUAUGUGCAUAUGCACAUCUAGCAGAAUCCUGAAACACCAUGGAUUCAGUGGAAAUUUCCCGUCAGUUUAUAAAUGCUGUCAGAGCCAGCUAUAAUAAAGAAACCACAAGUUACUUGCUUUAAUCUUCAACAGAACACCAGGAUUUUGGCAGGAGACACUUUCAUCAGAAAGUUUAUAACUAACAGUUGGGGAUGUUUUCCGCUAACAGGCAUACGUCAAAGUUCUAGGUGCUACCUUUUCCAUGGACUUCAUGGUUCCCCAAAUUUUCAUUUUUUAUUGACAAGCGCAGUGUAAGACUCACACCUACCUUGGAAGGUACUUCUGACCCAGGAAGUACAAAGACAGCAGCUGAGGAGAGGAAAAUACAUAUCAUUGUAAGGUGAUAUUUAAGAGAAGUGAAAGCUGCAGGAUGAGCUCGCCAUUGAAGAAUACAUAGAAUUUCUAAAAAGCUCUAAAAUUGUGAAAAUGCUGUCUGUUUAUGUCCCCUUUAGAGAUUUCUGCAACCUUUUCUCCAGGGCAGGAGUACAACACCUGCAGGAACAGUAGCAGGUAUUUUCUGGGAGGAGGGCCAGGCACAGAGACUUGGAAACAGGCUGAAAAAAGACCAAGCAGGAGGCAGACAAUUCAGUGGAGCAAAGACACUCUCUCACGUUUGUUUUUAUAGGUUCAGGCAUCUAACCUUUUUCAACUGGAUCACAGCUGGCCUCUCUAAAACAACUUUAAAUCAAUGUAUCGGUUAACAGGUUCAAUGUCUUAGGGGGGUAGAAGUGCCUGAAGGUUUGGAAGGCAAGAUCCACACAGCAGUCCCAAAGCAGUGCAAUCAAAAUUCUUGCAGCACCGUACACUCUCACUGUCACAUCUUUCCCCCAAUAACCUCUGCCUUUAAAACAUUUAUCCUUACAUUUUAAAAGUCCAGCUAAGGAUAUUAGCCUCUCAGUAGACUGCCAUUAAAAUGUUGCAUGCCUCUUUGAAAGCUUAAAUGGUGGAGUUUUAGUGUCAAUAACCAAUUUUUAUUUCUGUUAAGAUGUCAUUGCACUAGUUUUUG
rnacentral:lncRNA from 1 species